rnacentral:lncRNA from 1 species
UAAAAAUACUGCACCGCACUUGGAGGCACCAAGCAGGAGGGAAGUUUUAACUCCUCUCCGUGGUCAUGUGGCUGUGAAAACCAUGGACUGCUUCUCUCCCAUGAGAGGCCCUGUGGAGUGGAGACUGCAGGAUUAGAAAGUCUCAGGUGUGCCUGUCACGGUUUGGAUAGGCUGGGCCUCAGCAGCAGGGAGAACAGUGGCUUUCAGGGGCCGGGAAUGCGGAAGGGAUAUCCUCAUCCUGUGACCCUCUGUCACCUCCAUUUCCACUUUACCUGGCCCAGCUUAGGGCUCUGCUAACGGCCCAGCCAACUUCAGUAGCAAACGGGAAAGGUAGAGGAACCAGGAAGUGAGGAGCGCACUCCCGCUCCUUUGCUAAUAAUCCUAACUUGCUCUUGCUCCCCUGCCAUCUGUCAGGGUUAGACUCUAGGUCAUCCCUGGGGCUGGCAGAGAGAGAGAGAGAGACAGACACGCCUCCACCCAAGGGCCCAGGGCAGCUGCAGGCUCACACAGGGGUCAAGUACAGCCAGCCCAGCCGAAUGUGGAGAGGAAUUUCUUGUGCCUAGUCUCUUAGCUCUGUACCACAAUCUCAGAGGAGGCCAGCAAGGGUCCAGGAGAUAAAGGGAGCUCCUUAAGCAAGCCAAUAAAGGGCAACUGUCAACUUGCUCCUUCUGGAAAUCCCUCUCCUGACUACCACUUCCACCUUACUGAAAAUCCUCAACACCUACUUCAUCUCUGAAGCCACCUUUAAAGAAAACAAGAAGUCAACUCCAGAUAGAUAGUCAAAGAAUUCAGAAUAAAACAUUGUUUAACUUUCAUAAAGCACAGAGGAAAGCAGAAUCCCAGAUGCUGCUAGAACCGUGUAUGAUGGCUAAUAAAUGGAAUUGGCCAUCAGAAACGAGAUGGCUAAACACAAUUAUUUUUUUUAAAUCUUUUGUUUAACAAUAAUAAAAAGGAAAUAAAACAAAAGCCAAUGAGAAAAAUUACAUAAAACAUUUAUGAAAAUACUAUCUCAAGAUACAAAUAACAGAUAAAUAUUAAUAUAUGGAAGGUCAAUGCUAGAUCUCCACAAAUAAUUAAACCAGUAAGGCUGGGCGAGUGGCUCACACCUAUAAUCCCAGCACUUUGGGAGGCGGAGGUGGGUGGAUCACCUGAGUUCAGGAGUUCGAGACCAGCCUGGCCAACAUGGUGAAACCCUGUCUCUACUAAAAAAUACAAAAAUUAGCCGGGUGUGGUGGCAGGUGCCUUAAUCCCAGCUAUUUGGGAGGCAGAGGCAGGACAAUCGUUUGAACCCAGGAGGCAGAGUUUGCAGUGAGCCGAGAUCAAGCCAUUGCACUCAAACCUAGGGGACAAGAGCAAGACUUCUCUCAAAAAAAAAAAAAAAAAAAAAAAAAAGGUUUAAAAAGAAAAAAAAAAUACACAGUAAAUUACCACAUGAGCCAACAAUUCUACUUCAAGGCAUAUACCCAAGAGAAAUAGAAACCUAUGUCCACACAAACACUUGUACAUGUAAGUUCACAGCAGCAUUAUCCAUAAUAGCCAAAAAGUGGCAAAAAAACAAUUAUCUGCCAACUGAUGACUGGAUAAAUAAAAUACGGCUGGACGCAAUGGAUCACGCCUACAAUCCCAGCACUUUGAGAGGCCAAGGUGGAUGGAUUGCUUGAGGUCAGGAGUUCGAGACCAGCCUGACCAACAUAGCAAAACCCUGUCUUUACUAAAAAUACAAAAAUUAGCUGGGUGUGGUGGCAUGCGCCUGUAAUCCCAGCUACUCGGGAGGCUGAGACAGGAGAAUCACUUGAACCCGGGAGGCAGAGGUUGCAGUGAGCCAAGAUCGCACCAUUGCACUCCAGCCUGGGCGACUGAGAGAAACUCUGUCUCAAAAAAAUAAAAUAAAACUUUAUUCAUAUAAUGGAAUAUUAUUUGGCAGUACAGGGGAUGAAGUUCUAAUACAUGCCACAACAUGAACGAACCUUGAAAACACAUGCCAAGUGAAAGAAGCCAGUCACAAAUGAUCACACAGUAUACGAUGCCAUUUAUAUGAAAUGUCUGUAACAGGCACAUCGGGAAAGACAGGAAACAGUGGUUGUUCAGGGCUCAGAGGAUGGAGGAGGGAGGUGUGGGGAAUGGGGAGAACUGCUAAUGGGCACAAGGUUCCCUCUGGGGGCAGGGCAAAAAUGUCCUACAGUUAGAUUGCAAUAAUGGGCAUGUAACUAUGAAUGUAUUAAAAUCCAUUAAAAUGUACAUUUUAAAUGGGUGAAUUGUAUGGUUUCUUAAUAAAGCUGUUAAAUUAAAAAAAUAAACUAG